ACUUGGGGAUAACCCGUUGAAAGACGGACUAAUACCCAAUGAUAUUCAUUGAUGACAUCUGAUUUGAAAUUAAAAGAUUUAUCGGUAUAGGAUGGGGAUGCGUCUGAUCAGCUUGUUGGUGAGGUAACGGCUCACCAAGGCCACGAUCAGUAGGGGUUCUGAGAGGAAGGUCCCCCACAUUGGAACUGAGACACGGUCCAAACUCCUACGGGAGGCAGCAGUGAGGAAUAUUGGUCAAUGGACGAGAGUCUGAACCAGCCAAGUAGCGUGCAGGAUGACGGCCCUAUGGGUUGUAAACUGCUUUUGUUUGGGAAUAAUCGACAUUACGUGUAAUGUUUUGCAUGUACCAUUCGAAUAAGGACCGGCUAAUUCCCGUGCCAGCAGCCGCGGUAAAU
rnacentral:rRNA from 1 species